CUCUUCUAAACCUUGAUGGAUGCAAAAGUUAACACCUUUAUUUUCAAGCUUAGAUCACAACCUGUAAUUAGAAUGUACCAGAAAGCCUCUAUUUCUCAAAUAAAAGCUGAUAAAGAUGGAUAUUAAUAGCCCUUCAAUCGAGCUCUCUCAAAAUCUUUAUGAAUCUCUCCUUUUUAGUUCCAUAUCGGUUGCUACAUAUGCGGUACAUUUUGGACUUUAAUAUUUUAUCUAUUUCUGAAUCCUACUGAUCCUAUUCCGAUCAACCAUUUUCUUCAGUAUUUUCAAACCAGAAGGAAAUCCGGUACUAUUUCUGCCGCAAAACUCCAAAAUUCCACUUCCAAACUGUCACUCUUUCUAACUAAAACCCAUCCCCCAGCAGUCUCUCAGUACACAGCCUGCACAAUCAAACAAAACGAGUACAUUUUCAAACCAAGGGGAAGUUGGUAAAAAUUUUAUAUUAAAAAACUCUCUUCAGUGUUCCCUAUCUCAAACUGAAACCCAUUUUUCCCACCAAUAGGAAAAGGGGUUGUUAGUUGUUACAAAUUUGUGCCAAUCAGUUCAAUGCUUUUUCAAACUCUUUAUUCCAUUGGACUUUAAUCUGUAAACAAGAAUGCUUUCCUUAGAAUUUGUGUUCGGCUUCUAAAAGUCUUGCUUUUCUUCAAGUAAAACACAACGCUCAGAAGCCAAAAACCAAGAUUACUGCUUUUAUAUAUCAAACCAAGAUUCCAUUGGUAUUGCAUGGACAAAGCAUCGACAAAAACAACAUUGAGGAGGUCAAAAUGGCAAUACCCACCACCGCCACCUACACCAAGAAUCCUGCAUUUGCCUCGCAGGCCUCACAGGAGGCCACCAGCAAAGGCUAGUGCUACCAAGUCCAGUUCACAAAGAGAUAUGAAAGGUAAGCUGGAGAGUUUGUUUGAUCAAGAAAGAGAGUUUACAAGAGGGUUUACUCCAGUUGUAACGGUGAGUGGUGGAGGAGAUUAUCAGUGUGAGGAGGAGAGGAGAGAGAGAGUGGAGGAAAGAGAGAGCGUGGUGAUGGAGGAGGAGAAGUGGAAGUUUCAAGCUGAGAUAUUGAGGGCAGAGUGUAAUUUGCUAAGGAUGGAAAGAGAGAUUGCUGUGAAGAAGAUGGAGAGAAGAAGGGUCCAGGUGGAAAGGGCUUUGAGAUCUGCUGUUCAAACUCUGCUUGCUGGGAGAGAAAAGAUGUGCAAUGGAAAGAAUGCAAACAUGGUUUUGGAGGUAGAGAUCAUAGAAUUGGCUGAGAAACUAGAGAAGUUGCAGAAGAGAUCAAGAAAUAAGGAUUUAGAUGUUCGAAAGGGUUGCAAUUUUGAUAAACAAGCAUCUCUUCUUCAAAGAAGGCUACACAAGUUUGCAGGAGAAUCAGAUGAGAUAUGUGUGAAGGAGAUUCAAGAGAUGGCAGAAGCAUGCUUGUCCAUCAAUACCACUAGCAGCAUCAAAGAAAAUUUUGUUUUGAAUUGCAGCAGCAAUGUAAUAUUGACUUUCUCCAUUUCUUCAGUAUCAAAUCUAAUCACUAUUUGAAAUGAAAACAACUAAAUGAAUCUAAUAACUCUACAUUUCUCCAUUUAUCCAUUUCUUUUAUUAUGUUUCACUAAUAACUCUACUUUUAUAUGUUGGUAAUUUCUAAUAAAAAAUAUGUACAGAUGGAGGCUCUGAGAAAGAAAGUGGAGGGAUUGUCAAAGGGUAAUCUGCUAGAGAGGAUGGAAGUUGAAUAUGGGUCGAUGCUCUCUACAGCCAACAGUUCUGCUUCUAGUUCUAGUUAUGCUGCCACUUCCAAGCGAUUCGAACUCUUAGAGAUAUCUUCAUCCUCAAUGAUACAACCAUGCAAGGAGAGAAAGCCUUAUGAGGAGAGAGCAUGUUCAGGAUGCUGCAAGGCAAUAGUGCAAAGGGUUGUGGCGCAAGUUCGGGCUGAGACAGAGCAAUGGUCCCAAAUGCAAGAGAUGCUGGGCCAAGUCCGGAAUGAGAUGGAGGAAUUGCAGGCUUCUAGAGAUUUUUGGGAAGAUCGAGCACUUGAUUCUGAUCAUCAAAUUCAAUCACUAAACUCUGCUGUGAAAAAAUGGAGACGGCAAGCUCUCUCCUCAGAAGCCAAGGCAAAUGAGCUACAAGCUCAGGUAUCACUGCUUCGAGCUGAGAUGGAAAAGUUGAGGAAGGAAAAAACAAGAGAAACAAAUAGGAACAAAAUCUCAGCAGCGAAUUUGCAUGAAUCGCCAAACGAGAUGGAGAAAAGAGUACUGGUUUGUCGAUUGAAGGAAAAUGGCCAAGCAAAUGAUGAUUGCUGCAAGCAUCAGGAGUCAUUGGAAAAUGGAAGAAAAACAAGUGGAAGUGGACUUAAUACUUUGAAACGCUCACCAUUUAGAGAUAUUGGAAAUUCAUCACCAUUGUUAAGGCAAAAUAACAGGGGAGUUUUUCCUUUGCACUGUCCCCUGUCUUCCAAUGUGCAGAGAGAUUCCUAAUGCCCUGAAUCCUGUCUUCUUAAGUAUCUAAACUUAGUGACUUGUGACCAUUCCAAUAUAGAAGAACUUGUGGAGAAUUAUGAAUUACCAUUGCAUUUCCCUUUGAAUUUUGGUAAUUAGGUUUCUCAUACCCCAUCUUAGAUUUGAUAAUUUAAGAAAAUAAAUGAAGUUGCAAUUAGUAACUAUUAGCUCA
rnacentral:misc_RNA from 1 species